GAACGGAAUCAAGAGGAGCUUGCUUUUCUUGAUUUAGUGGCGAACGGGUGAGUAACGCGUGAGUAACCUGCCCUGGAGUGGGGGACAACAGUUGGAAACGACUGCUAAUACCGCAUAAGCCCACGGUGCUGCAUGGCACUGCGGGAAAAGGAUUUAUUCGCUUCAGGAUGGACUCGCGUCCAAUUAGCUAGUUGGUGAGGUAACGGCCCACCAAGGCGACGAUUGGUAGCCGGACUGAGAGGUUGAACGGCCACAUUGGGACUGAGACACGGCCCAGACUCCUACGGGAGGCAGCAGUGGGGGAUAUUGCACAAUGGGGGAAACCCUGAUGCAGCGACGCCGCGUGGAGGAAGAAGGUUUUCGGAUUGUAAACUCCUGUCGUUAGGGACGAUAAUGACGGUACCUAACAAGAAAGCACCGGCUAACUACGUGCCAGCAGCCGCGGUAAAACGUAGGGUGCAAGCGUUGUCCGGAAUUACUGGGUGUAAAGGGAGCGCAGGCGGACCGGCAAGUUGGAAGUGAAAUCCAUGGGCUCAACCCGUGAAUUGCUUUCAAAACUGCUGGCCUUGAGUAGUGCAGAGGUAGGUGGAAUUCCCGGUGUAGCGGUGGAAUGCGUAGAUAUCGGGAGGAACACCAGUGGCGAAGGCGACCUACUGGGCACCAACUGACGCUGAGGCUCGAAAGCAUGGGUAGCAAACAGGAUUAGAUACCCUGGUAGUCCAUGCCGUAAACGAUGAUUACUAGGUGUUGGAGGAUUGACCCCUUCAGUGCCGCAGUUAACACAAUAAGUAAUCCACCUGGGGAGUACGACCGCAAGGUUGAAACUCAAAGGAAUUGACGGGGGCCCGCACAAGCAGUGGAGUAUGUGGUUUAAUUCGAAGCAACGCGAAGAACCUUACCAGGUCUUGACAUCCGAUGCAUAGUGCAGAGAUGCAUGAAGUCCUUCGGGACAUCGAGACAGGUGGUGCAUGGUUGUCGUCAGCUCGUGUCGUGAGAUGUUGGGUUAAGUCCCGCAACGAGCGCAACCCUUAUUGCCAGUUACUACGCAAGAGGACUCUGGCGAGACUGCCGUUGACAAAACGGAGGAAGGUGGGGAUGACGUCAAAUCAUCAUGCCCUUUAUGACUUGGGCUACACACGUACUACAAUGGCGUUAAACAAAGAGAAGCAAGACCGCGAGGUGGAGCAAAACUCAGAAACAACGUCCCAGUUCGGACUGCAGGCUGCAACUCGCCUGCACGAAGUCGGAAUUGCUAGUAAUCGCAGAUCAGCAUGCUGCGGUGAAUACGUUCCCGG
rnacentral:rRNA from 1 species